UACGGAGGGUGCAAGCGUUGCUCGGAAUUAUUGGGCGUAAAGGGUAGGUAGGUGGUCUCAUUUGUCUGGGGUGAAAUCCUUGGGCUUAACUCAAGAAGUGCCCCAGAAACGGUGAGACUAGAGUACUGGAGAGGCGAGUGGAAUUCCGGGUGGAGCGGUGAAAUGCGUAGAGAUCCGGAGGAACACCGAAGGCGAAGGCAGUCUCCUGGCAAGUUUCUGACGCUCAGGUGCGAAAGCUAGGGGAGCGAACAGG
rnacentral:rRNA from 1 species